AUGUUCUCGUCUCUGGCGCCGGCGGCGGCGGCCUCCAAGAACGCGGACGGCGACGAGGGGCGCCGAAGCGGCCCGGCGUCGCCGGAGAGGCUGCGCCACAUGCACGCGGACGUGGCCGAGCUGCUCCGGGCCAACACCACCCCACGCCGCCGGCGGCCGAAGAAGCCGGUGCCGGCCACGCCCGCGGAGGAGCGCCGCCACGCGCGCUACGGCUGCGCGUUCGAGGAGGAGGCGCUGGCGGAGGGCGGGUUCGCGCCGCCACGGAUGGUGUGGGCGAAGGUGAAGGGAUACCCGCGGUGGCCGGGCCAGGUGUUCGACCCGGCGGACGCGUCGAAGCAAGCGCUGCGCGAGCGCAAGCGGGGGCCGAACGGGGCCGCCCUGGUCGCCUGCUUCGGGGACGGCUCCUUCGUGUGGGCCGGCGCGGCGGACCUCACCCCGCUCCGCCACGACUUCCCGCGCCUCGCCGCCGUCGGCCUGCGGAGCAACCACAAGGCCGAGUUCGCCCUCGCCCUGGACGACGCGCUGGCCGAGGUCGCCCGCCGCGUGGACGCCGGUCUCUCCUGCGGGUGCCCCGGCGCCGCCGCCGCCGCUAGGAAGCAGCUGUUUCCGAACUCCGGCCUCCGCAGAGGCGCGUCCGGCGCCGCGGUGGACGCCGGCUUCGCCCGGGGCGCGCUCCGCGGCGAGGCGCUCGUCGCGUACGUCGGCGCGCUGGCGGUGGCGCCGGGGGAAGGCGCCGACAGGCUCGACCACGCCGUCGCCGCGGCACAGCUGGCAGCGUUCGACCGAUGGAGAGGCAAGACCGUCAUCGUGUCCGCCGCGCCUGCAAGCCGCGCUGCGACUCCCAAGAGGACGACAAGGGCAAGGGGCCAAGACGAUGGCGGCAUGCUGCUCUCCGCGACGCCACGUGCACGCCGUGCAACUACCCCCAAGCGAGCAAGACCCACGGGACGAGACGACGGCGCCGGCGGCUCCGCCAUGGUGUUCUCCGCGACGCGCGUGAGCCGCACCACAACCCCGAGGAGGGCAAGGGCAAGGGGGCAAGACGGCGGCGACGCCUCCGCCGGCAACCGGGUCAUGACAAGGUGCGCGCGCGCGGCCGCCGCGGCGGACGCGGCCUUCGUUCGGAACGUGUUCCGCGGCGAUGCGAGCGUGGAGCACUACGCCUCCGCGAAGGGCCUGACGCCGCAUGCCGGAGCCGAGCGGCGCGACCUCGCCAUCGCCGUCGCCACGCCGCAGCCGAGGGCCGUCGCCGCGUGGAGGGGCGCCCCAAGCCUCCUCCCCGACGAGCAGACCGCGACCCACGACGCCACCGAGGGCGCCGCGAACGCCAAGGCCAAGAUGAUGGCAAGAUCGACGGGAGGCGAGGACUCCGCCGGCGACCCCGGCAAGUGGAGGACGACGAGCUGCAUCAGCUCAAGGGAGGAGAACUCGGGGUGCGAGGACGACGUCGUCGACGACGAUGAUGCCACGGGAUCGGAGUGCUCCUCCGAGGCCCCGUCCCAUGAGACGACGUCUGCAACAGUGGCGCAACCAUCGCCCAUUCAUCUACAACACGACCCGUCCGGCUUGCCACUUCCGUACGUGUACGAGUCCUUCCCCGAGCUUCUGCAGCCGGUGACCGCUUUUUCAGACGAGUUCCUACAGGAGACGAGGGCAGUGCGGUGGCACGAGAGGGCAGAACAGAUCGCCGACGAUGUGAAGUGUUUGUCGCUGAGUGUGAAGGAGUGGAAGAGAGUGAAGGCAGAGAUGGAGGGAGAUCCAACCAUCUGUCGUGAACGCCGGGAAGCGACCAUUGAAGUUGCCAAGCAGCACUCCAACUGGGAGCUGCACAAUUUGGGCCGGAGGAUCUACUUCGAGAGCAAUGCGGAGGAGAGAGCCAGGAUGCCGCCCCCAAGUGCAUCGGCGUUCGAUAUCAUCAGCUGGGGAAGGGCGGAGGCGAAAACUCCAGCUGGCAAGGCAAGCAAUGGCAAGGGCAAGGGCACUCCCGGCGCCUCGUCAUCCCGUGCUGCCCCUCCCCCUCCACCGCCGGCGCGUUUCCGCCCUAAACGCAGGCGCCUGCACAUCCCGGUGCACCAAGCGCGGUGGCACUGGGAGUACAGGCAGCCCCUCCCCUACCCCGACGUGACGCUGCCGCACUGUUGGCAUUUAGAUCCAAACCGGAUCCCUGUGCCGGCGGUUCCGCGGACCCAGCGGGCGCACGACGAAGAGGUGCGCCGGCGCCGCGCGCUGCUCACGCCGGAGCAGCGUCGGCUGCCCGAGUACGCCGCCGACUCUCCUAACUGGGAGGCUUGGUUCGCCCUCGAACACGAGGAGCAACGACGCUCGGGUGUCGACUCCGUCCCGCCGCCGUUCCCACCGCCUUCCCCGGAGGUAGAGCCGGAGGACAUGGAGGCGGAGGCGGAGUACCAAGCCGCCCUCGAGGAGGCCCUGCAGCACGCGCUGGAGGCUAGCCGCAUCAAGGAGGACGCGCACUGGGAUGGGCUGGAGCAAGCCCUUGCCCUGUCGGCGGCGGGGGACUCCGUUCACACCCCGCUCUUCGUGCCGCCGCCUCCACCGUCGCCGCCCGUCCAGCCCAAGCCGGAGCCGGAGCCAUCGCGUAAGCGCUCCCCGCCUCCACCCACUUGGCCGGAGGAGGCCUACUCGUGGACGGGCCAGUACCGCGAGUGGGUGAGCGCGCCUCCCGUCCACUUCGCCGCGACGCCGGAGGAGGAGGCGGCCCACCUCGAGCGAUGGAAGGAGCACUGGCUCCGCCAGGAGCAAGCCGACGGCGAGGAGUAG
rnacentral:rRNA from 1 species